rfam:Glycine soja cultivar W05 scaffold1316_37, whole genome shotgun sequence.
UCACAAAAAAAUGUUGACUGGCAUGUGUUACGUUCUGACUAGACAUGAAAAGGUGUGCCCAAGAGUCAACUCUAACAUUUUUUCAUUCAUCGUCCAAUCAGAAUGUGACACGUGACAGUCAACGUUG